AGUGAACGCUGGCGGUAGGCCUAACACAUGCAAGUCGAACGGCAGCACAGUAAGAGCUUGCUCUUACGGGUGGCGAGUGGCGGACGGGUGAGGAAUACAUCGGAAUCUACUUUUUCGAGGGGGAUAACGUAGGGAAACUUACGCUAAUACCGCAUACGACCUACGGGUGAAAGCAGGGGAUCUUCGGACCUUGCGCGAUUGAAUGAGCCGAUGUCGGAUUAGCUAGUUGGCGGGGUAAAGGCCCACCAAGGCGACGAUCCGUAGCUGGUCUGAGAGGAUGAUCAGCCACACUGGAACUGAGACACGGUCCAGACUCCUACGGGAGGCAGCAGUGGGGAAUAUUGGACAAAGGGCGCAAGCCUGAUCCAGCCAUACCGCGUGGGUGAAGAAGGCCUUCGGGUUGUAAAGCCCUUUUGUUGGGAAAGAAAAGCAGCAGGUUAAUACCCCGCUGUUCUGACGGUACCCAAAGAAUAAGCACCGGCUAACUUCGUG
rnacentral:rRNA from 1 species